CCCCCCAGCAGCCCCCCGGGAAGUUCAGGGGUGCUGCGGGGAUGCUGCAGUGCCCGCGGUGAGCUCACAAUGCCACUGGUGAAGAAGCGUUCUGCUAACUGCGCUCAGGUUCGCCCUGAGCGUGGCCGUGCCAGCAGCUGCCUGCAGCAGGUGGAGGAAAACGGGCUCCAAAAAUCGCCCUGGAAGGAUUUUGGGGUGGGGGGGAAGAGCCACCUGAGCGCUGUCACCACUGCAGCAGUACUAGUGCAGGAGCUCUUCCACUGGCGGUUCCCGUGGCACGAACCCAGGGUGAAAAAUCGAGAAUUAUUGGUAUCAUCCAUUCGCUGGCGACUGCUAGAGGGAGCGCGGAUGUUUCCCUGUGCCUUAUCCAUCCCUCAGAGGGAUCCACUUGUGUCUUUGCCAGGGCUGCAGCAAGCCUGCAGAGCUGCCACCCUGCCCGUGGCAGCCGUGCAGAUAGCUUCAUCCUCACUGAAGUGAAAUUAUAAAAUCACAGAGUGAUUUGUGUUGGAAAGGACCUUAAAGAUCGUCUCUUUCCAGCACCCUGCCAUAGGCAGGAACACCUUCCACACACCAGGUUGCUCCAAGCCCCAUAGACAGGGAUGCUUUGGAGAUCAUGGCCCACGUGGCUGUACAUCCCCACUCCAUCCCUGCAUCCUAAAUCUGCAGGCAGCCCUGUUGUGAGUUGUCAUGUGAGCCACCUGUACCUGGAAAAGUUCACAAAUGGGUUUAGGAACUGGGCAGGAGCCCCCAUGGCAGUGGGGUGGGAGCCUCACAGAAACAGGAGUGGUGUGGGAAGCACAGCGAGGAGCCAGGACAGUGAGCAGGGACCCUUGCUAAGGGAGAAGUCAGAGGGAAUUGUGAGUAAAGGGGGAGAAACAGCCCAGCACAAUUUGCUAAACCCUCUGAUGUUUGCCUAAAUUCAGGCUUUUGGUUGAACAAGCUGAGAAUUUGGGGCAAUUCUUUGAACUUCAGGGUGUCCUUGUGCAGCCCUGGCACUGCAGAGCCCUGAUUAAAAAUGCAGGAAAAAGGAGAGAAAAGGGCUCCCGAUCCUGAGAGCUGCAGGGAUGGACAUGAGGCAAAGCAGGAGCACAACACCAUCCCACACAGCCAGGGAGGAGCAGGGGGUUUGGUGUGCAGAGUCUCCAGGCAGCUUUUGGGGACAGAAAUGGGGUAAAUCUGCUGAAUCAGUCUGCUGAGCAACAAGAGCAGCCCGGGAUCCCCCAAAACCUCAGGUCUGAUCUGGAUCCUGGUUACAAGCAGCUCUCCAAGAGUCAAACGGACUGAGUCCUUGCCAAGUGGCAUCUAGUCCUUACAUCCAUCUGGAUCAAUCCAUCUGGAUAUUGUAAAACAGAGAAAAUUUAGCAUUUAUUCCAUGAAAUGGUACAGUGGCUCUGCAAGGGACAGUUAUUUCUGACAGAGUUUCCAGCAGUGUCUGCAGCCCAACCUGGGAGCUGGACCAGGGCACUGGGAAUAUCAGUGGAAAGGUCAGUUUUCCUUAAUGAAUUCCCAGAGAGCCAAAAAACAACCCACAAGGAGAAUAAAUGCAAUUUUGGAAAUUCUUUCCCCAUCAUCUCUACAGCCAUCCCUGAAUGAGAUAAAGUUCUCUUUUACCAGGAAGUUACCAAGAAGCUCUGCAAGGAAUCUGUGUCCCAGAGGGAUGGGAGUCCCUGGCCAUGUAGAUGAGGCAUGAAGAGAUUGGGAAUAUUUCCUAAGGACGCAAGGGAAACCUCAGUCAAUGCCAGAACAAUUCCCAGCUGAAAGAGCUGUAUCACCAGCUUCUUUCAGUGCAUCCUCAGAAAUGGACCCUCUGUGAUGGGAGCAAGAUCUCCAAAGUGGGAUUUUUGAUCUGUGCCUCAGGUUUGUUGUGCCCUGGCAUGCUGUAGGGCCAGAUUCCAAUUGGCCCCUUCCAAAUAUCACCAGGGGCAUCUGUAUGGCUGUUAUCACCAAGAAAAACCAGCAACCUCAGCAGCAAUCCCCAGGAAAAGCACGGCAUGGCCCACAUUCCACAGUCUCUUCCAGCACAUCUCGACUAAAGCUACAGCAGUUGUUAAUAUCUACUGUUUUUUUCCCCCUUCAAAGGUGUAUUUAUAACUGCAUUUUACCGUGGCAAGCACAUUUUACCCCCCUCUCACUCAUAAAAUACAGAGUACCAACUCUUUGCUUCCUCAGCUGGGAUAUACAGCAGCAUCUUUAUGCAAACCUUGCUGAUGUGGUACUGCUGUAAGAACCUGUAAGGUAGAAAGUUCUUACAGCAGUAAGAAUAAAAAUAAGUUACUAACUUACAAGUUAUUCAAACUGAAUUCAACAGAGUUAAGGCUGGACAGGUUAAAAAUCUGAGUGAAUAUUCUGUUUCUCCCCAUGAUGCUGCCUUACCACAUUUCCCCAUCUCUCUCUCUGUGUGGGUAAAAUGGUCUUGGCGACCUUCCUGUGCUGCACAUCCCUCGAGAGCAUGAAAACAAACCCAUUAAUGUUUAUAAAGUGUCUCAGACUGGGGGAAUUACAUCACUGUGGUGAGAUACAAGCUUAAUGGAUCAAAACAAACCCCAGCUCCAAACCCCCCAGCUUAGACACAUCUCAGUUACCCGGCGCAAACCUCAAGGAAUCCCACUGAGAAGGGAUAAUUGAGAGAAAAAUGUGAUCCCAGAGAUUUUUCUGCAGUAAACCCAUUUUAUGUUAAUAGAAAGCAGAUUUCUAGACCCCUUUGCAAACGAAUGACUUCCACAGCAUAUUUCACAGCUGAGCGCAUCCAUGGCACCAGCUUUGGACACGGGGCUAUUAAACCCAACAUUUGUUUAAUGAAUUACAGCAGGCCAUGAAUCUGUGUGUGCUCAGCCUGUGUUUAAAUGUUUAUUGGGAAGACUUCAGCAGCCAGCUCUGCUUGAGCAGGUAUCAGCCUCAAUGAUGAGCUCUCGCUGCAACGCACCCAAAAUUUUGAACAUGUUUUUGGGUUCUGCUUUCUUAUCCAAGACAGAUUACCCAGGAGGUUCAGGGAGUCUGCUAAACAUAAAACCUUUUGGGCUCAGUGCAAGUUUGGGGUGUUGUCUCCUUGAUGACGAGUGAGAUAAACUGUUGUGCAUCUCCCACCUGCCUGGGGUUGGUCCCUGCAACUGAAGGGUGGAUUAAGCCAUUAAAACUCACACAUUCAAGCAAAGCUGAUGUGCUGUAGCCAUUUCCAAGAUGACCCCACUCUCACCUCACCAGUCAAUCUAUACAUCUUGAUAAAAAAUUAACUCUGGUUCACCCUCUUAUUUUAACACGUUCUCCACUGCAAACUGUGUGUGAAGUGCUCCCUUUCAUGGCACAUUGGGACAGUAGUGAUGAUGUGCUGUGAUCACUUUGCUUUCCUGCAAAAUACCUCUGAUUUAUGGUGGUCUCCACUCCAGAAAUCCCCACCCAGGAGCGGUUUCAGAGUCACUGAAUGCUUUGGGAUGGAAGAGACCCUAAGGACCAUCUUGUUCCACCCCCUGCCAUGGGCAGGGACACCUUCCACUCUCCUAGGUUGUUCCAAACCCUCUCCAACCUGGCCCUGGACACUUCCAGGGUUGGGGCAGCCACAGCUCCUCUGUGCCAGGGCUGCCCACCCUCACCUAAGCCAAGAAUUUCUUCCUCACAUCCAGUCUAACCCUGCCCUCUGUCAGUGGGAAGCCAUUCCCCCUUGUCCUGUCAUUUCAGGUGAAGUCUGUACGAAAUGCCAUUUCCCCAUCACAAAUUAGGGAGUUUGGUUGGGCUUUUUCAGAACUGCCAGGGUGAUUUGGGAGAUCAGGUCCUGGUGAUCCCCCAAGACUUCCCUGUCCUCUUGGGAAGGUGACAAUGGGGACUCUGUGGAGACAUUUGCAGCCCAAAUUUACCUCCUGCUCUGCUGGGACCAGGAUCAUGUGAAAACGUCAAGGAAUAAGGGAGAAUGCAAAGCACUCAGAUAGCAGGCUAAUAUGUGCCAUGAAAAAUAAAAAAAUCCUGUGAUCAAUCAGCAGAAAAAGAUAUACUUACAUUAGGUGUUAGUGGGAGAGAUGCAGGAAAGGUGAUUAUGGGUUUGUCUCCGUGUUUCCCUCAGCAACAAUGAUGACACGCCGGGGUGGGUCACCCUACCCUGUCAUUAAUGGAGCAUCAGCAUUCAUCUGACAGCUCCUUUGUCCUGGGAAGUCAAUUCCGAUGAAGAUUUGACAUUAGCAGAGGCACGGUGAGACUCAGGCGCCUUUGCAUUUUCACAACCCUCCAAAUGCUUUAGCCUGAUGGAUUACGGGUAAAAUCACUGUCCUAAUUUGAGCAGGAGGCAGAACAAAUAUUUGUACACAUCUGUUUCAACUGUGGCAAUAAACACCACGGGCAGAACCGGUGGAAGAGCAGCACUUUGCUCCCUUCCCAGAAAACAAACCUGGGAACGGGGGCCACAGGGCAGAGCACAUGGGAAGGGUCAGGUGAAGCAUCAGAGAAAUGUGAUUUUUUUUUUUUUUAAUUACAAUAUUUGUCAAAUAACUGAAAGACAAGAUCUAAAAUAAUCCAAAAA